rnacentral:rRNA from 1 species
UUCAUGUGGUGGAUGCCUUGGCAGUCAGAGGCGAUGAAAGACGUGAUAGCCUGCGAAAAGCUCCGGGGAGGCGGCAAAUAUCCUUUGAUCCGGAGAUGUCUGAAUGGGGGAACCCACCUACUUUAAGGUAGGUAUUGCAACAUGAAUACAUAGUGUUGCAAGGCGAACGAGGGGAAGUGAAACAUCUCAGUACCCUUAGGAAAAGAAAUCAAUUGAGAUUCCCUCAGUAGCGGCGAGCGAACGGGGAUCAGCCCAUUAAGUUAUGUGUGUUUUAGUGGAACGCUCUGGGAAGUGCGAACGUAGAGGGUGAUAUUCCCGUACACGAAAGGGCACACAUAAUGAUGACGAGUAGGGCGAGGCACGUGAAACCUUGUCUGAAUAUGGGGGGACCAUCCUCCAAGGCUAAAUACUCCUGACUGACCGAUAGUGAACCAGUACCGUGAGGGAAAGGCGAAAAGAACCCCUGUGAGGGGAGUGAAAUAGAUCCUGAAACCGCAUGCAUACAAGCAGUGGGAGCACCUUCGUGGUGUGACUGCGUACCUUUUGUAUAAUGGGUCAGCGACUUAUAUUCAGUAGCGAGGUUAACCGUAUAGGGGAGCCGUAGAGAAAUCGAGUCUUAAUAGGGCGUUUAGUUGCUGGGUAUAGACCCGAAACCAGGCGAUCUAUCCAUGAGCAGGUUGAAGGUUGGGUAACACUAACUGGAGGACCGAACCCACUGUCGUUGAAAAGCCAGGGGAUGACUUGUGGAUAGGGGUGAAAGGCUAAUCAAGCCUGGUGAUAGCUGGUUCUCCCCGAAAGCUAUUUAGGUAGCGCCUCGGACGAAUACCAUAGGGGGUAGAGCACUGUUUCGGCUAGGGGGUCAUCCCGACUUACCAAACCGAUGCAAACUCCGAAUACCUAUGAGUACUAUCCGGGAGACAGACUGCGGGUGCUAACGUCCGUAGUCAAGAGGAAAACAAUCCAGACCGCCAGCUAAGGCCCCAAAAUCAUAGUUAAGUGGGAAACGAUGUGGGAAGGCAUAGACAGCUAGGAGGUUGGCUUAGAAGCAGCCACCCUUUAAAGAAAGCGUAAUAGCUCACUAGUCGAGUCGGCCUGCGCGGAAGAUGUAACGGGGCUAAAACUAUGUGCCGAAGCUGCGGAUGUAUACUUUGUAUACGUGGUAGGGGAGCGUUCUGUAAGCCGAUGAAGGUGUGUUGAGAAGCAUGCUGGAGGUAUCAGAAGUGCGAAUGCUGACGUGAGUAACGACAAAACGGGUGAAAAACCCGUUCGCCGAAAGACCAAGGGUUCCAGUCCAACGUUAAUCGGGGCUGGGUGAGUCGACCCCUAAGGCGAGGCCGAAAGGCGUAGUCGAUGGGAAAAUGGUUAAUAUUCCAUUACUUCUGUGUAAUGCGAUGAGAGGACGGAGAAGGCUAAAUCAGCCUGGCGUUGGUUGUCCAGGUGAAAGGAUGUAGGCAUGUAUCUUAGGCAAAUCCGGGGUACUCUAUGCUGAGAUCUGAUAGCAAGCUGUACUUGUACAGCGAAGUGGUUGAUGCCAUGCUUCCAGGAAAAGUCUCUAAGCUUCAGUUACACAGGAAUCGUACCCGAAACCGACACAGGUGGUCAGGUCGAGUAGACCAAGGCGCUUGAGAGAACUCUGCUGAAGGAACUAGGCAAAAUGGUACCGUAACUUCGGGAGAAGGUACGCUGUUGUUGGUGAUGGAACUCGCUUCCUGAGCUGACGACAGCCGCAGAAACCAGGCCGCUGCAACUGUUUAUUAAAAACAUAGCACUCUGCAAACACGAAAGUGGACGUAUAGGGUGUGAUGCCUGCCCGGUGCUGGAAGGUUAAUUGAUGGGGUUAGCGUAAGCGAAGCUCUUGAUCGAAGCCCCAGUAAACGGCGGCCGUAACUAUAACGGUCCUAAGGUAGCGAAAUUCCUUGUCGGGUAAGUUCCGACCUGCACGAAUGGCAUAAUGAUGGCGGCGCUGUCUCCAGCAGAGGCUCAGUGAAAUCGAAAUCGCUGUGAAGAUGCAGUGUACCCGCGGCUAGACGGAAAGACCCCGUGAACCUUUACUGCAGCUUGACACUGAACUUUGACCUUACUUGUGUAGGAUAGGUGGGAGGCUUUGAAGCUGGAACGCUAGUUCCAGUGGAGCCGUCCUUGAAAUACCACCCUGGUAAUGUUGAGGUUCUAACUCUGUCCCGUGAUCCGGGACGAGGACCGUGUCUGGUGGGUAGUUUGACUGGGGCGGUCUCCUCCUAAAGAGUAACGGAGGAGUACGAAGGUGCGCUCAGCGUGGUCGGAAAUCACGCGUAGAGUAUAAAGGCAAAAGCGCGCUUAACUGCGAGACCCACAAGUCGAGCAGGUACGAAAGUAGGUCUUAGUGAUCCGGUGGUUCUGUAUGGAAGGGCCAUCGCUCAACGGAUAAAAGGUACUCUGGGGAUAACAGGCUGAUACCGCCCAAGAGUUCAUAUCGACGGCGGUGUUUGGCACCUCGAUGUCGGCUCAUCUCAUCCUGGGGCUGAAGCAGGUCCCAAGGGUAUGGCUGUUCGCCAUUUAAAGAGGUACGCGAGCUGGGUUUAGAACGUCGUGAGACAGUUCGGUCCCUAUCUACCGUGGGCGCUGGAAAUUUGAGAGGAUCUGCUCCUAGUACGAGAGGACCAGAGUGGACGAACCUCUGGUGUACCGGUUGUGACGCCAGUCGCAUCGCCGGGUAGCUAUGUUCGGAAGGGAUAACCGCUGAAAGCAUCUAAGCGGGAAGCCUACCUCAAGAUAAGAUUUCCCUAGGACUUUAUGUCCUCUAAAGAGCCGUUCGAGACUAGGACGUUGAUAGGUUGGAUGUGGAAGCAUAGUGAUAUGUGAAGCUGACCAAUACUAAUUGCUCGUGAGGCUUGACUAU